rnacentral:snoRNA from 1 species
CCCAGCUGUAGGCAGCUGCCUAGGUUGUCAUGCACCUAGGCAAGUAUUCCACUGCUGGGCAAAAAGCAGCCAGAAGCUGGCGGGCACUCU